GGUUAAAGCAACUGUUGCUAUAGUUGAAUCAGAUCAAGUCCUAAAAGGAAUUCUGGAUUUUGUCAACAAACAUAACAUCAGAAAGCUUAUAAUUGGGGCUAUACCGGAUUGUGUGAAGGUUAAGAAAAGCUCCAGGAAAGCAAGUUAUGCUGCCACAAAGUUCCCUACAUUCUGUGAAAUAUUCUUUGUGUACAAAGGAAGACUAAUCUGGAUUAGACAACCCCCUGAAUGCUCAAGCUUCAUUGCACCUAUUUCUCCUAAUACUCAAGCAGGGGCUGUUGAUGUAUGUGGUUUAAGAUCUCAGUGUCUGAAGUCUUGCGAGAAUGAGGUUAUCCUGUUCCCAGAACGUGUUCAGUCAAGCUUGUCUAGGGACCUGCUGUCAUCUGGAAUAAAAAAGUUAGUUCUUGAAGCGGGGAUUCCAUCACAAACUGAUUUACGGGUCAAGGAUUUUUCUUCUUCCAGCAGAAGCAAUCUGAUCAGUGUUCCUAGUUUAUCUAUUUCAACAAGUUCUAUUCAUGAUAUCAGUUGUGCUUCUUCAGUUGAACAAAUGGUGCCCCCUGAUGCGGAGAUGGAAAGUUUAUACAAACAGCUGGCAGAAGUCGGCACAGAAUUUGAAUCAUCAAGGAAUGAAGCUUUUGCAGAGAUUCUGAAGCGCAAAAAACUGGAAGCUGAAGCUGAAGAAGCCAUCAGAAAGAUAAAAGCAUUUGAAUCUGCUCAUGCACGUGAAGUUAAACUGAGGAAGGAAGCUGAGGAUGCUCUGGAAACUACAUUGCUGGAAAAAAAGAAGCUCUUGAUGGAGAAAAAGGAGAAAACUUAUGAGCUGUGCAAGGCCAUGAGAAAUAUAGCCCUCCUGGAUUGUCGUGCACAGGAGGCUGAUCGACGAUGUGAAGAGAUCACUGGAGAAUUGACAUUGAUUCACUCCUCCAUAUCAACUCUCCAGCAGGAGAAGCAGAAACUUAAGCAGAAAAACACUGAGGCCAUGCACUGGAUUAAUUCGUGGAAGAAUCGUGGAAAAUAUGGAGGACAAAGUGCAAUUGAC
rnacentral:misc_RNA from 1 species